CUUCUGUCUGUAAAACACAUUCUGAGGUGACCAUGGACAAAAACCUGCCUGAUGCUUCAGCCACAAAUAGGAAACUGGUUGUCUUGAGCCUCGGACUCCUGUGUAUCCUGCAAGCUGCUCUCAACAUUUCCCUGCGUCUUGCUCUCUACAGUUCUGAUGCACCAGAUUAUGAUGCUGUGAUCAGGAAUCUGACAGAAGAGAGGGACCAGUUGAAGAGGAAGUUGAAUACAUUUGACAGUUCUGAUGCACCAGAUCAUGAUGCUGUGAUCAGGAACCUGACAGAAGAGAGGGACCAGUUGAAGAGGAAGUUGAAUACAUUUGACAGUUCUGAUGCACCAGAUUAUGAUGCUGUGAUCAGGACCCUGACAGAAGAGAGGGACCAGUUGAAGAGGAAGUUGAACAUAUUUGAUCAUUACACCCAAGAAGGAUGGAGAUACUUCCGCUCUAGUUUCUAUUUCAUUUCCUCUGUCAAGAAAUCCUGGGGAGACAGUAGAGACAACUGUCUGCAGAAAGGAGCAGACCUGGUGAUUAUCAACAGCAAAGAGGAAAAUGAGUUCACAAGACAGUUCAGAAGGCUCUUCUGGAUCGGACUGACUGACACAGAGACAGAAGGGACAUGGAAAUGGGUGGAUGGGACUUUGCUGAGCACAACAACAAGCUACUGGCACCCUGGGGAACCAAACUCGUAUUUUAGCACUAAUGAAGACUGUGGAGAGACAAAGUUCAACGAAGUUGAAGACAACUGGAAUGAUGAAAAAUGUCACUGGCAGAAGUUCUGGAUCUGUGAAAAGAUGGUGGCUUGAUAACGCUGCACCCAAACGCAGCACACUGGUAACUGAUGAGCUGCAGAGGAAGAGGCUCAUUAAAAUGGGUUUCUGCCACUGGAAUACUGGUGUACCCAACUCUUUGGGCCAAAGUGAAGACCGUGCAGUAACAGCCAACAGCUGGUAUGACCUGCCAUGAGAAAAGAAAAACUUCUACAUCUGUGAAAAAAGUGUCUCUCAAUAAGUCAAAGUAAAAACUGUGAACUGGUCGCUCAGUAGAGGAUGUGGGUUUUUUUCUAAAUCAGGGGCCAUAAAGCGGCCACCUGCUAGGUUUAUCAUAUUUGUCAUUCGUUCAAGAUGUAAUCAAAUUAUAAUCAUGUAAUCCCUGACUAUGUUA